rnacentral:misc_RNA from 1 species
AAUCGACUGUGAUUGGUCAAUUUCUUUACUCUGUACAUUAUAGAUGACUCAUAAUGUCGCGUGUAAAUAAGUAUCUGCGUAGAACGUAUUGGAGAGAACCAUUGCUGUGAUAACCAUGAACUGAGGCUAUCGGCAGCCAGAAUGAUAAGAGAUGUAUCUUGCAUGCAAUCGAAGCAUUCAAGGCUUUUGGACGUCACAGUUCUGAAAAGAAUGAAAGAUGUCUUUGUCAAAUCAAAUGUUUGACUGUAUAAAAACAAAUAAUUUGACAAAAGAUGAACUAAAUCGAAUAACUGACGAUGUAAAUAAAGCUUUAAUUGACCCAAAAGGCAAUGAACUUUUUGAAAGCUAUCUUUCUCAAUUCAAUUUUUUGGAUGGUUUAGUAAGUUUGAGGUUGUACAACACUUGUUCAAAUAUCCUGAAUAAAAAGCAGAAUAGAUCGAGUCAAGCCAAUUUAUCGGAAGAAUCAUUGGAAUCACUUAUUACUGAAGUAAACAAGAUAAAGGAGACUAUCGAAGAAGAAGAUAUAAUUGCAAUAGAUUAUCGUGUUAUGACAGACUUGAACAAAGCCUUGGAGGCACAAAACAAGGAAAAAUUACUUGACAUAUUAGAAAAGAUCAAAGAAAAAUGUCAAAAUAGUCUACGAGAUUUGCACCAAAAUUUUAGAUUACAUCUUGGAAAAAUAACGUUUGAAAUUUGUUAAAAAUAUUGACUUAAAAUUUUUACAUUUUUAUAUUUUCUUUUUUUCUUUUGUGCAUUACGAAGAUCCAUGAUGUUUGUAUUUGUUUCUAUAAUAAUUUAUUAUUUAUUUAUUUUUAAUUUAUUUUUACACGUGCACUUUACACUGUACAAUGUACUUAUUAUCCCAAAGUAUUUAAUAUAAUAGCUCAGGUAUUAUAAAACUAUAGUUAAAGUAAGAAUAUAUUUUGGAUUAUUAGAUACAUAUACUCUCUAAAACUGUCAGAGUAAAAUCUCAUUCUUAAAAACUGAAAAUUGAGUCACUUUUUUAAGAUUGGCUUUUCAUUUCUUAUAAUGGAUCUAAUAGAGAUUCCAUUUCACAGAAAGAUAGAAUAAGAAUAAUAUAUGAUUCCUUAUGUAAAAGCGAUCGAUUCAUAGUCGGAUACUUUAAUUUCGAUUAUUUUCUCAUGUAUAUACUUCUAAAUAAGAGACUGAUUGCAAAGUAAAACGAAUUAAUUCGAUUAGGAAAUAAUAAAUUGAAACAUUUUUCUACGUUAAUACAGAUCUAGUCAUUGCAGCUAAUCCAGUGUAUACUCGAUGUAAUUAAAAUGAAAUAGAUAUAUAUAUUUGAGUUUUGCCGAAAGCGAGAUAAAAAGUUUUAGUGCAGCUUAGUAAGCAACAAAGAACAGGCCUAUGAAUCAGUCGCUUGAUAUCGCUUUGUAAUAUUUAUUUAUUUAUUUAAUUGUUAUGGCAACGAAUAUACAGAGGUUUAAUAAAUCUUGUCACUAGUUCUAUA